rnacentral:lncRNA from 1 species
GUCUCUAGUUCAGACUAAUAUAUGACAUUAUAAAAUUUCUUUUUAGAAAUUUCCACAAAUAGAUUUAAAUUAAGAGUCUGUAUUUUUUUCAAUGUCUGCUUUUUUUGUCCAUGACAUCAAUUAUUCUCUCAAUUCAUCACAUUUAGGGUGUAUUUUAGAUCAAAGGGUCAAGGUUGACUGAAAGGUCAGGGGAAUAUCAUGGCUUUUGACUCUCUUUUUGGGCUAUUUUUGAUUUGAAGAUGGCUAUUAUGAAAUUCUUAAAUUAAUCAUAAAUGUAUAUCCACUGGUUUGAUUACAGACUGGGUACCAUGAUAUGGUCCGGCUGAAUUAAAGUCUUUAGAAUGUGUAUUCUAUUGAUAAGUGUCAGAAGUUCCAAAGGUUUUUUAGACACCUGUGGUCUCUGGUCCAAUUCAAGCAGUCAGUGUAUUAACAGUUUUUAUACA